GAAUAUAUUUUAUUAUUUUUUUAUUUUAAAAUAAAUAUAUAUAUAUUUAUUAUUAUUAAAGAAAAAUUUUAUAUUAUAAUAGUUAAUUAGUAUAGUGAUUGAAAUUAAUUUUAAAUAUUUAAAAGAAUAUAAUUUAUAGUACCUUGUGUAUCAGGGUUUAUUAAUUAUUAAUUAUUAAUUAUUAAUAUUCUCGAAUUAAAAAGAGAUAUUAAAUUAUAUUUUUAUUGUAAAAUAAAUAUUAUGAAUAAUUUAAUUGAAAUGAAAUGUUAUUCGAUUUUUAAUUUAUCUAGUUUUUAGAGAAAAAAAUUUAAUUUUAAAAAUUAAUAUAAAUUAUAAUAUUAAUAUUAUAAAUUUUAAUUAAUUUUAAAUUUAAUAGGGGAUAAGCUCAAUUAAAAAUUUAUUAAAAAUUAUAUUUAUAUAAAUAAUAAAGUAGGAAUAGAAAUUUUUAUCUUUUUAGUAUGUUAUAAUUAAAUUAAUUAUUAAUUUAAUUUUUAUAAAUUUUAAUUAUUUUAUUUAAAAAAUUUAUAUAAUAAUUAUAUAUGUGAUAUAAUGAUAAAAUUAGUAUAAUAAUAUUUAUUAGUAAAUAUUUAUAAAAAUGUAAAAUAAAGGAAUUCGGCAAAAUUAUUUUUCGCCUGUUUAAUAAAAACAUGUCUUUUUGAUAAUAAUUUAAAGUCUGAUCUGCCCACUGAGUAAUUAAAUGGCUGCAGUAUUUUGACUGUACAAAGGUAGCAUAAUAAUUAGUUUUUUAAUUGAAAGCUUGUAUGAAUGAUUUGACGAGAAAAUUACUGUCUCUAUUUUAUUUUAUUAGAAUUUUAUUUUUAGGUUAAAAAGCUUAAAUAUAAUUAAAAGACGAGAAGACCCUUUAGAGUUUUAUAAUUAAUUAAUAAAUUAAUUUUUUAAAAUUUAUUUUAAUUUAUUAAUUAAAUAUUUUAUUGGGGUGAUAGAAAAAUUUAAUUAACUUUUUUUUUAUUAAAACAUAAAUAAUUGAUUUAUUGAUCCAUAAUUAAUGAUUGAAAGAUUAAAUUACCUAAGGGAUAACAGCGUAAUUUUUUUAGAGAGUUCAAAUCGAAAAAAAAGAUUGCGACCUCGAUGUUGGAUUAAAAUUAAAAUUUGGUGAAGAAGCUAAAUGAUUGGGUCUGUUCGACCUUUAAAAUUUUACAUGAUCUGAGUUUAGACCGGCGUGAGCCAGGUUGGUUUCUAUCUUUAAUAAAAUUUAAUAUUUUAGUACGAAAGGACCAAAUAUUAAUAAUAUUUAUUUAUUUAUGAAUAGUUAUU
rnacentral:rRNA from 1 species